rnacentral:rRNA from 1 species
UACGUAGGGUGCAAGCGUUUAAUCGGAAUUACUGGGCGUAAAGCGUGCGCAGGCGGUCUGUUAAGACAGAUGUGAAAUCCCCGAGCUCAACUUGGGAACUGCGUUUGAAACUACAGGACUAGAAUAUGUCAGAGGGGGGGUAGAAUUCCACGUGUAGCAGUGAAAUGCGUAGAGAUGUGGAGGAAUACCAAUGGCGAAGGCAGCCCCCCUGGGAUAAUAUUGACGCUCAUGCACGAAAGCGUGGGGAGCAAACAGG